GUGGAACACCAAGACAAAUGGCUAGAAACCUUGUACAUGAAAACAGUGGCCCACCCAAAGUUUGUCUUUUCCUAGGAAGUUAUAGAGAAAUGAGGAGGUAUCAGAAGAGCAGUCAAUAAAAGAAAAAUUUCUUUGAAAGACAUAUGGGUGGGAUGAGAACGAAUGAUUCUUACUUUAUCUGUAGAAAUUGAAUUUUGCUGCAACUAAGAGAGACCUGGAAAAUAGUGAUUUACACAAAUAAAAUUUUGUUCUCUCAAGAAAACUGAUACUCAGCAGUCCAGGCUGAUGAAGUGGCUUCAUGAGCUCUUCAGCAACCCAGGCACCUUCCAGGUCUUCUUUGCCAAUUCUAGUGCUAGUAACUCCUUCAUCUCAUCAUCCAACAUGGCUGCCAGAGCUUCAGACAUCACGUGUACAUCUGAGUUCCAGGAAACCAGACAGAGGGAGAAAAGAAGGGCAUAUACGCUCACUUUAAAGAAGACUUCUAAGAAGAAUCACCUAAAAUUCCCCAACCUAGUCCCAAAGCUCACUUGGCUGCUUUCAAGCCUGGAAAAUGCAGUCUUUAAGCUGAAAAAUGCUAUGACAAAAUCAGAGAUUGACCAUGCCUACAGGGACAACUGGAAAACAAAUGAAACCAUAAAACCAAGCACUCACGAAAUCUUUGUCCUCCCAGUUGACUUAAGAAUACUUGCGAAGAAAAUGUGGCCUCUUUAGAUCUCAGAUCCCUUGUUUCCAACUGGUUCAAAUAAAUAGAAAACUCUUCAUUCCUAUGGUACUUCUUAGAGAUAAACCACACGCAUGUAUCAGAGAAAA
rnacentral:lncRNA from 1 species